rnacentral:rRNA from 1 species
UGACGAAGCGACGCCGCGUGGGUGAGGAAGGCCUUCGGGUUGUAAAGCCCUGUCAGGAGUUAAGAAAUGUAAGUGCGCUAAUACCGCAUUUAUUUGACGAAGGCUCCAAAGGAAGCCACGGCUAACUCUGUGCCAGCAGCCGCGGUAAUACAGAGGUGGCAAGCGUUGUUCGGAAUUAUUGGGCGUAAAGAGCACGUAGGUGGGUUUGUAAGUCAGAUGUGAAAGCCUUCUGUUCAACGGAAGAAUUGCAUCUGAAACUGCGAGUCUUGAGUGUAGGAGGGGAGAAUGGAACUUCUGGUGGAGCGGUGAAAUGCGUAGAUAUCAGAAGGAACGCCGGCGGCCAAAGCGAUUCUCUGGCCUAUUACUGACACUCAGUGUGCGAAAGCUAGGGGAGCAAACGGGAUUAGAUACCCCGGUAGUCCUAGCCGUAAACGAUGGGCACUAAGUAGAGG